rnacentral:rRNA from 1 species
GACGAACGCUGGCGGCGUGCUUAACACAUGCAAGUCGAACGGAAAGGCCCUGCUUGCAGGGUACUCGAGUGGCGAACGGGUGAGUAACACGUGGGUGAUCUGCCCUGCACUUCGGGAUAAGCCUGGGAAACUGGGUCUAAUACCGGAUAGGAGCCAUUUUUAGUGUGAUGGUUGGAAAGUUUUUUCGGUGUAGGAUGAGCUCGCGGCCUAUCAGCUUGUUGGUGGGGUAAUGGCCUACCAAGGCGGCGACGGGUAGCCGGCCUGAGAGGGUGGACGGCCACAUUGGGACUGAGAUACGGCCCAGACUCCUACGGGAGGCAGCAGUGGGGAAUAUUGCACAAUGGGCGCAAGCCUGAUGCAGCGACGCCGCGUGGGGGAUGACGGCCUUCGGGUUGUAAACUCCUUUCGCUAGGGACGAAGCUUUUGUGACGGUACCUGGAGAAGAAGCACCGGCCAACUACGUGCCAGCCGCCGCCGUAACAC